CAACAGUUUUUCUGGGCAUUUAGUCUUGAUAGCCUUUCGUAACUGCCUCAGCAAAUUGGCAUAGUAUUCCCCAUUGAUGGUGUGACCCUUUUGAAGAUAGUAAAUAAACACAA